GAACCCUGAACAUUCUCAAUCAGCAGCCAGGUGAAUCUGAAGCAGGCGGUCCAACAGCUUCCUGGGGCACAGAAGCCUAACAAGCUCCCAAAAGAGCACCUACUUCAGCCACCCCGGCGCGUUACGGACGGGGAGAGUCAAGGCUACGGGGAACUUCGCGAGCCUCGAGGAGGGACUCUGGGCCGGGCCCGGAUCCCCCCGAACCGUGCGUCCAACUAGGCGACGCCUGGUCCCGGAGGAAAGAGACACAGCGAGAGAGGGAACACAAGCAGGGGGAGUGGGAGAGGAAGAAGCAGGCUUCCAGCCAAGCAGGGAGCCCGAUGCGGGGCUCGAUCCCAGGACCCGGGGAUCACGACCUGAGCCGAAGGCAGACGCUUAACCGACUGAGCCACCCAGGCACCCCUAUAUGGUUGGCAUUUAAAGCCACAAGACAAGAUGCGUAUCAGGUGGGAGUGAGCGUGGACAAAGAAGAGAAGGAGACCAAGGUGACAGCACAAGGACGCUCCAGGAAGAAGUAGGGAACAAUGAGCAAAGAAGACUGAGAGGAAAUGAUCACCACAUGAGACAGAAACCCAAGAGGGUAUGCCCAAAUGAAGAAAGAGGCUUCAAAGUCAAGCAGGAAGAGGUAACCAACUGUGUCAACUGAUGCUGAUGGGUCCGGUAAAAGACUGAAAACUGACCAUUGGAUUACCAGUGCGAGUAUCUGUGUGGCUGUGGAAAGAACACUUUUGAUGGGGGGAGGAGGAGUUGAAAUCUCGACUGAAAUGGAUUGAAGGAGAGAAAAUGGAGGCAUAGUGUACAUUUUAAAAGAGAUUUGCUAUAAAAGAAAGCAAGGGCAUAGAGCACUAGCUGCUGGGGAUAAGGGUCUAGAGAAGAGAGAAGGUUGAUUAAAUAAAGGUGGGAGAGACAUUGUCAGGUGUGUCUGAUGAUGGCACUGGUCUAGGAUGGAGGGAGAACUGGCGGGAGAGAGAAGUAGAGCAAUGCUUUAGGGCAGGUGAGGGGGAGGAGCUCCAGAACACAAGAGGAAGAUUCUGCCUUGGACAGGAUCAUGGGAAGUCCACCCAUGGUCACCCCCUAGAGGGAGAUACAGACAGGUGCAAGGAGGUGGGGAUUCUUAUCUGAUUACUUCGAUUUACUCAACACAGAAAGCAAGCUUAGCCAUUGAAGAUGAGCUUAGAAGAGGUGAUGACAAAGAUUUGCUGAGAGAGGAGUUUCACAAUAGUGCUCUAGGAGUGUGGAGGAGUGAUUAAAGCAGGGAAGUAUAAGAUAAUUGCUGAGUGGUGUGAAGGGCUCUCUUGAGUUCUUGGUCAUAGAUUUAAAUUAGACAUGAGUCAGUGGUUGGAUGUUUUCUUCCAGGCAUGCCCAGCUGCACGAAGGCAAGUGUGAGUAGGUGAGGGCUUGAUUUUAACCAGGCUGUAGUUUUUCUAGCGAGGAAGGUGAAGUGAGGGAGUAUCAAGGGGAUGGAGGGGACUGCAGGCCUAUGCUAACUGACUGUAGUGUUGAAGCUGGUUAGGAGGACAGAAUAUUAAGGGCUAAAAGUCAAUGGGAGGGUCAGUGGAGUGGACACUGUGGAGUGGGGGGCGGGGGGAUUAAACCAGUGAGUAGAAGUUAGCAGGUGGUGGUCAGAGGGUGGGAGGCAUGAAAUAACCAGAGUUGCCAUCACGGGUGAUGAUGAGGCUGCGGCUGAGCUCCCUGGAUUGAGUAAUGGAGUUGGGAUGGGAUCACUGGAGGAGAGAAUUUCAAGGAACUGAGAAGCCAGUAUGUUGGGAGGAUCAUCUAGAUACCCCCUGAAAGUGCUAAGGGUUAAGUUCUCUUAUCCUGUAGCCACAUCACUUAGCACCAUUCACCUCCCAACAAAUGUUCUAGACAUAAUCUUAUCUUAUUUGCCUGCCUAUCUAGGUAUGUGAUACAUGUUUGUGGGGUUGAAAGGACUGCGUGGUGGUUGGUUUUACCAGUGUCUGCCUUUUCUGGCUCUGCUCAUGUGUGAUCACUGAGGUUCUCCAGCAUGGGAUCCCAUUCUGCUUGUUGCAGCCGAUUCCUCACCACCUCUUCUCUCUGGGUUCCAACCAGUAGCAAAGAGAUGAGGAGCUGAACAAUGAUCUCACCAUUAACCUUAAUCAUACAGGACAAGGAACUCCGUGGCCAAGGAUUAGAGAUUGUGACUUUGUGUGCCAACUUGACCUGGCCAGUGAGGGUCCACAUAGUUGGUUAAGCACUAUUCUGAGUUGUGUUUGAGGGUAUUUCUAGAUGAGAAUAGCAUUUAAAUCUGUGGACUGAGUAAACCAAAAGCCUGAAUAGAACAAGAAGAAUUCUUUUUGCCUGACUGUCUUUGAGCCGAGAAAUUGUUUUUUUUCCCUGCUUUUGGAUUUGGACUCAGAUUGGAAUUUAUACCAUUGACUUUCCUGGUCCUCAUGCCUUCAGACUCAGACUGGCACUGUAUAAUUGGCAUCCUGCAUUUCCACUUGCUGACUGCAGAACAUGGGACUUCUCAGCCUCUAUAAUCGUGUGAAUCAAUUCCUCCAAAUAAAUCUCUCUCUUUCUCUGUCCCCUACCUCCUUCCAGAUCUAAAUGUGAGGACCUGCCUCUGGAUUGGAUCUGUAUUCUUAUUCAUCCAGGUGUAUGGAGAAUUGUUGAUUUUGUCUCACAACCCAUUUUCAGGAGAAUGAACAACAAAGAAGAUGAAAGAAAAAGUUAGAAAAUAGGUAGCUCUUUCUGAUCUCACAAUCUCCUGUGGGUACAAGGAGAGAGAUUGACCAGAUCAGAUGUAUUCUUUCCAACACUUCUGGAGCUGGGAUAGAAGCGGAAGUCUCCUUGUCAGCCUAUGGGAAAGUAGAAAAGUAGGCUGAGAGGUAGUCAAUGUCUUCCUGUCUAAGGAUGGAAGACAUUGACUACCUCCCUCUCUAUGUUCAGAUGGGGUAUGGAUUGUUUUUGAUGCCCUACCUGGUGCCUAUCCCAUCUAUCAUGCAUGCUCACUAUAUUAUUACAGCACUCCUUUCCGCAACCAACCACAAACACGUUUCUAUCCCAGAGCUCUGACUCCAUGAUAGAUAUAGUCCAAGGGGACAAGGCUGUCAUGGACCAAUGCACACAGGACAAUGGAGAGAGGUCCACUUUGCCAGCACAGGGCCAAGUGAUAGAACACAUGCAACAUUUUACCACUUCAAAGAUGGUUACCUGUAUGUUGUCUCACUUGAUCCCUAUGCGAAUGCUGUAAGAAAAUGACGUGUAUUAUCCUGUUUGUCAAAAUUCAUGAUUAUAAUUAUCAAAAGGUAAAAGAAGGAAGGCAGAAAAGGAAAGAAUGUUGGGAUCCAAAAUUCCUACACAAAAUGAUGAUGGUAAGGCAAGUUUUUUUUUUUUAAGAUUUUAUUUAUUUAUUUGUCAGAGAGAGAGAGCACAAGCAGGGGGAUGGCAGGUAGAGGGAGAGGGAGAAGCAGACUCCCCGCUGAGCAGGGAACCCAAUGUGGGACUCGAUCCCAGGACCCUGGGAUCAUGACCUGAGCUGAAGACAGACACCUCACUGACUGAGCCACCCAGGUGCUCUGUAAGACCAAUUGUUGAAAAUGGUCAUGCCACAAGAUGAAUGAAGCCUGCAUACAUAAAUGACUGUGUGGAGUGGGGCUUCCUGUCUACCAUAUUGGACUAGAAGAAUCGUGUGGAUUGUUACAUUUCUCCCCUUCCCAGCAAAAGAUGGUUGGCGAUAAACUCUCUGGAGAACUUGAACUCAUGAUCCCGAGAUCAAGACCUGAGCUGAGACCAAGAGUCGGACGCUCAACCAACUGAGCCAUCCAGGCAUUACUUCUGAUCUUUUAAAGGUGGUGCAUAAAGUCUUGCGCAAAACCUGGCAUAUGGUAGUUACUCAAUGCAAAGGCUUAAAACAAAAACACAAACACAAACAGAAAGCAAAAAGCCUCCUGUAGUCACCGCCUCUUCUGUCAACCGACAACACUCAUUUCAUCCCCUGGGGGCCUGAAGUCUCCUUUGCCGCCUGGAGCUCAGGGAAAUUCCCCAGAUGCAAGUCAAGUGGGAUUAUGACGCCUGGAGCCGCUGUAGCACUUCCGACCUUGACAAUAAAAGUCAACAGGCUGAGAACAGAGGCAAGAGGUGCAUGAAGAUCCAGAGAUGCUUUGUUUGCUCAGUGUUGGCAUUUGGGCCAGUCCCGGGUCUGCAAGCUGCCUGUACAGAAAACAGGACGAAAUCACAGCAGCCUUGAUGCCCAGUACCCGCCACCCCUCCCCCCACCUGCAAACAAGUUAGCUUCAAAUGGAUUAGAUGACCCUUUGUGACAAGGAGUUAGCCUUUGGUGAGGCUUCCGUUUUCUGACCUGCAAAAGGGAGGUGAUGAUAGAACCACAUAAAGGGUUGUUGUGAGGACAGAAUAGCAUAUACAUAUCGAGAACAAGCAUAGCGCCUAGUACAUAGUAAGUGCUCAAAAUGGUAGGUGGCUAUUUUUAUUUUUGUUGUAUCAUUACCUGUAAACUCAAGUUUCUUGAAUGACUUUGAUAUUCUUAAAGAUUACCUCAUGCUGAUGCAAAUCAGGAGUUUUCAUGGGCAUUGCAUUAGGGGAUUGAAUGAGAUAUUCUCCAAAGCAGAUCUCCCCCCUUCCCCCACCUCACCCCCAUCCAGUCACAAACUAUUUGUAGUGAUCCAUUAGCAUCUUGAGAAAGUAAUUCAUUGGGAAGCGAAAAAGAAUAGGAUAGCUUAAAAUAGGCAAUAUUAGAAUGCAUCACAUGAAGUAAGGAUAGAAAUUAUUUCGUAAAAGUUUUAUUUGUUACAUUUACUUGUAUAUGUGUAUAUUGAGUUGCGAUUGUAAAAUGUAUUUCUGAUUGUGGACUGCAUUAAAAAACUUUUUUAAAGAAGACUGCCCUAAGGUGCCCUGCACCUCCAGAUUCUAUGGUUGUUCUCAGAUGCUCUGGCUCCUUCCAGCACCGUGCUUUCGAGUUACAUAACACCGUCACCCUGCUGACUCAUGGUCGGGAAACAGUUCCCUGGCCCACACCGAGAUUUCUCUCCAUCACUGUUCAUUCUUUUCUCUUUCAGUUCUGCUUUGUUUUAAACAGGGGCUAAGGAAGAUGAACAUCUUC